CUGUUCUGUUCUUCUAUUCAUUGCUGUUUGUGAGCACGUCUCCGUUUUGACCUUCUUAUUUUGCUUUUCUCUCACAUACUGCUUCAUCUCACUUUCUUAACAGACAUGAAUUCAGUCAUUUGGAUGAACGCCUCCAGGACUUGGCAGGGCCCGUGGCUUGUAUAAUCUUAUCUCAAGGGCAAAAACUGGAUGAGUUUCUCUGCCGGUUAGCCACAGGACUCUCAGGACAGACUCCUCACGUCUUAAACCCAGAACACCAGUGACUCAUACAUGUGUUAAGACAGUGUGGUCCAGUUGUAUAUGUGUUUCUGGAUCUCUGCUGUUUGCCGAGCAGCCCGCACGCGUGCCGUGUCUCCCAGCGUUGACAGGAUCUUGGAGGAUUCGUGGACGGCUUGCCGAAACCUGGCCACGGCUCAGUCCGGGCGCCUGCAAUCUGUGUUAAGAGAAAGUAAGACAGGUAGAGAGAGACAGAGAGAGAGAGAGAGAGAGAGAGAUGACGUCAUCAUAGCGACUUCUCCUCUGCCGUUCUGUGGGCGUCCUGCUUUUCUCCAAGAUGGAAAAUAAUAAUCACACGAGGGAUUUCUGCAACUAUAAUCAGGCGAUUUGUGACGACUGAACACGCAGUGCAUCUGAUAUCACUUACAGAUGCUGCAACGCAACUUACAAAUGAGGGCGGAUUUAACAUUUUGCCUUGAGAGCCAACAAUACAGCGUGACAGUGGGCGGCUACCGGCAGCCAAUGGAGUAAAAUCAUCAGGGAUUUGACGUGGACUCUUUUUGGUUGAUUGAAAACCAGAUGUGUUGGAUCAUUUAAAGAGUCUCUUGGUUGUGCUGACUAGAAGGUCAGCAAAGUUUUAAGGGCCUUUGGCCAGUAGGCAACCACCCAGAAUGCCAUGCAUGACACAUAAAAACCAAAGAAUGAGAGAAAGACACUUGUUGAUGCGAUACAAUCUCGAUUUUCUUCACCAACUUUGCGAUAUUUGCUGGUGCAUGAAACACUUCUUCAAUGCAAUUAUGAUUUGAUUAAUUUAUCGAUAUUUAAAUAUUACGAGCCUAGUAAGCAGUUACAUUUUUAAUAACUUACAAAUGCAACUAAAAUAUAUAACAUAAACUUUUAUUUAAACUCUUUGAAAAUGGUACAAUCUCUGUUCCAACUGGAUCAUUUAC